rnacentral:lncRNA from 1 species
UGAACCUCUUUCAACUGAUUGGCAUCAAAUUGUUGACAUGGAACAUGAAAAGAUUAGAUAUAAAUAUACAUAAAUCAUCUAUCGAGUGAACAAUUUAAAUUAAAAAUUUAGUGUUUCAACACCAUAAUUAACUUCGCAUCUUUGCGUAUUAUCUAUUACAUAUUGUCAUCUAUAAGUGAUAGACUACAAAUCUUGAAUAAACCCUAAUAUUAUUUCAUGUUGAGAUCAAUCCUUGGAACACAACUAACAGUUCUAAUAAUCAUUUUUGAUGAGGAUAAAUUAUUUCUUCUCUUCUCACAACUUUUUUUGGCUAUAUCCUUCAUAGCACAUGUCAAGGAGAGUUUAGGGUUAAGUCUUGUGGUAGAAUUGAAUUCUUGACAGAAAAUUGUGUGUGUGCUUAAAGCUUCUUCAAUGGUUAUGAUGGGUUCAUGCUUUAGCCUUUCUUUGACGGCUUCAGAACAAAGCCCACAAACCCAUUCAGAACGUGAAUUCCUGAUGUUUGUAAUGUAUUCUUUUGUGCAAUCUUCUUUGAGGCCACAGCAUUCACAUUCAACAGCUUGAAGAAGUUCAUCAUCCAAUUAAACAAUGGUUUCCAAUUCCUUGCCUAGUUUGCUUAUUUCACUUGCAACAUCGGAUACAGUCUUUCGCAGCAACUGGCCACUCUGCGAAACAAUAGAAGAAGCAAUUUUGUUAGUAACUCAUUUAUACCAACCAAAAACCAAGUUUAAUUCCUAAUAAAUUUAUAUUGUCCAUUGCUAUAUUUACUGAAAAAUUUAACCCAUUUUAGUUUAGUCAAAAAUCAGAUUUGUUUGUAGAUUUUGAUAUAAAUUAAUGAAACAUAUGGUUGAAAAGUUAAUAAAAGUUGUGGAUCUCAUCAAAUAUAUAAUUGAAAAUGAGUUUGAAGAAAAAUGAUUUUUAAAACGAGAGCCAAAUAGUGGCUUAAUGUAAAUAGGAUACUACAAGAAGUGCAUUACCCGUGUUAAUUUUGGCGUACAUCUCUCUUUCUUACCUCUUGCAUUGAGGUUGAAUCACUAUUUCAACCUAUUUAUAAGUCUACAUUAUAAGUUGUGACUGCAACCAGAGUUCGACAAAAUAUGUCCUAAUGUUCCUAUGACAUUGUAGAGUAUAAAUAUACAAGAUCAUGAACAAAUAAAUAGUGGAUUUAAACCUAAGACCUUUUAAUUAGUCUUAGGAUUCCAACCUUAGUACUGUUUUCCCAUAGAUAGGAUUGUGCAAGUAGGAGAAGAAGGAUUCUUGAGUAGAAUUUUGCAUACCAUGUUUUUAGAAAGAGAUGAAAUUCUUCUUCGAAUGCUCUAACUAUGAUAUCUCGAUCCACGAAGUUGCGCUCGAUAGUCGAUUCCAUAUAAGUGUUGUAUAAAAUGCUG